rnacentral:rRNA from 1 species
UGGGGAAUAUUGGACAAUGGGCGAAAGCCUGAUCCAGCCAUGCCGCGUGUGUGAAGAAGGUCUUCGGAUUGUAAAGCACUUUAAGUUGGGAGGAAGGGCAGUAAGCGAAUACCUUGCUGUUUUGACGUUACCGACAGAAUAAGCACCGGCUAACUCUGUGCCAGCAGCCGCGGUAAGACAGAGGGUGCAAGCGUUAAUCCGAAUUACUGGGCGUAAAGCGCGCGUAGGUGGUUCGUUAAGUUGAAUGUGAAAGCCCCGGGCUCAACCUGGGAACUGCAUCCAAAACUGGCGAGCUAGAGUAGGGCAGAGGGUGGUUGAAUUUCCUGUGUAGCGGUGAAAUGCGUAGAUAUAGGAAGGAACACCAGUGGCGAAGGCGACCAACUGGGCUCAUACUGACACUGAGGUGCGAAAGCGUGGGGAGCAAACAGG